ACCUAUUUGGUUUAAAGCUUAACCCUUUAACACCUAAGCCCCAAACAGGCCGCCUGGAUAUAUUUUGUUGGUUUGGCUGUAAACCACAACUUA